UACGGGGGGGGCAAGCGUUGUCCGGAAUUAUUGGGCGUAAAGAGCGCGUAGGCGGUCCGAUAAGUCGGCUGUGAAAGUCAGGGGCUCAACCCUUGAAAGCCGGCCGAUACUGUCGGACUAGAGUCCGGAAGGGGCAAGUGGAAUUCCCGGUGUAGCGGUGAAAUGCGCAGAUAUCGGGAGGAACACCAAUGGCGAAGGCAGCUUGCUGGGACGGUACUGACGCUGAGGCGCGAAAGCGUGGGGAGCAAACAGG
rnacentral:rRNA from 1 species